rnacentral:rRNA from 1 species
UACAGAGGGGGCAAGCGUUGUUCGGAAUUACUGGGCGUAAAGGGCGCGUAGGCGGCCUGUUAAGUCGAACGUGAAAUCCCCGGGCUCAACCCGGGAACUGCGUCCGAUACUGGCAGGCUUGAAUCCGGGAGAGGUCGGUGGAAUUCCCGGUGUAGUGGUGAAAUGCGUAGAGAUCGGGAGGAACACCUGUGGCGAAGGCGGCCGACUGGGCCGACCCUGACGCUGAGGCGCGAAGGCGUGGGGAGCGAACGGG